ensembl:misc_RNA Metazoa_SRP Metazoan signal recognition particle RNA
GCUGGGCAUGGUGGCGCGUGCCUGUAAUCCCAGCUACUCGGGAGGCUGAGGCAGGAGAAUUGCUUGAACCCAGGAGGUGGAGGUUGCAGUGAGCUGAGAUCGCGCUGCUCCACAGCCUGGGUGACAGAGCAAGACUCCGUCUCAG